UGAAUCCAUUUUAGAAUAAGGCUGUUACGUGUACAAAUGUGUACAAAGUCAAGGGGUCUGAAUACUUUCCGAAUGUACUGGACAGUAUGUGAAUAUAUAUGGUGAUGUUUUCAAUUUGAUAAGAGGUUAUUUAUUAGACUCAAUAGUAGCAUGUUUUGAACCAAGACAGAGCACAGUGAGUGAGCAGUGACAACCGAGUGAGGGAUCAUUAGCUUUGAUACCUUGUGGUAGCUAAUGGUGUUAGCUUCGAUACAGUGUAUUACCUUGGUUAAGUGUGUGUGUGUGUGUGUGUGUGUAUUGUGACAGUGUGUUUUACACUCCAGGCAUGGCUGUGUUUGGUCUUUGGUGUGUGUGUGUGUGUUGUGCCGGCUUGUUUGUUUGUCAUGAGAGUGAGACACCAUGAUGCUGAUAAUGACUCCAGGGUUGAACCGUCCUCUCUGUGUAUCUGCAGUCUAUCCACUAGGUUUGAUAAUGACUCCAGGGUUGAACCUUCCUCUCUGUGUAUCUGCAGUCUAUCCACUAGGUUUGAUAAUGACUCCAGGGUUGAACCGUCAUCUCUGUGUAUCUGCAGUCUAUCCACUAGGUUUGAUAAUGACUCCAGGGUUGAACCUUCCUCUCUGUGUAUCUGCAGUCUAUCCACUAGGUUUGAUAAUGACUCCAGGGUUGAACCUUCCUCUCUGUGUAUCUGCAGUCUAUCCACUAGGUUUGAUAAUGACUCCAGGGUUGAACCUUCCUCUCUGUGUAUCUGCAGUCUAUCCACUAGGUUUGAUAAUGACUCCAGGGUUGAACCUUCCUCUCUGUGUAUCUGCAGUCUAUCCACUAGGUUUGAUAAUGACUCCAGGGUUGAACCUUCCUCUCUGUGUAUCUGCAGUCUAUCCACAAGGUUUGAUAAUGACUCCAGGGUUGAACCUUCCUCUCUGUGUAUCUGCAGUCUAUCCACUAGGUUUGAUAAUGACUCCAGGGUUGAACCUUCCUCUCUGUGUAUCUGCAGUCUAUCCACAAGGUUUGAUAAUGACUCCAGGGUUGAACCGUCCUCUCUGUGUAUCUGCAGUCUAUCCACUAGGUUUGAUAAUGACUCCAGGGUUGAACCUUCCUCUCUGUGUAUCUGCAGUCUAUCCACUAGGUUUGAUAAUGUGCUGCAUGUUGCUGUUGUGACUGUUUUUUUUGUUUAAUAAACAACAAGAAGAAAAAAACCCA